AACUCUUUUAGAUGGUCAAACACUAGAGACUGCGCUAUAUGUAAAAGUACAGAAAUUACACGCUGUCGCAGUGUAUUAUACAGCCUGAAAAUUAAAAUAUAAAUUAUUAAGUAUAUUCGAUCAUAUUUGAAGAAUUUUUAAUAUUAAUAUAAUAAAUUUUGAACAUGUGUUUUUUUAUGAAUUGAAUAAUAUUUUUUUCAAUAUUAUUAGUUUUGGGAAUAGUUAAGUUAGGUG
rnacentral:lncRNA from 1 species